CCACAUUUUAGGUGCGGCUGGCGGGGCGGCUAGCUUGACUGUGACUUCGUAAGUGAGGGCUCACUUGACCGCAGUGUCUGAUUCCGCUUGUGCAGCGAUCAUUUCAUAUCGGGUAGGCAGAAGAGCGAUAAUCCAUAGAGUCCGGACUUUAUUCCAUCUAUUUUCAGCAACGUUCCAUCUGCAGAGAAGAGAAGAAAAAUGAGGCUGGAUGUGUUCAACAGAAGACAGAAAGCAAAGCUACAACGGAUAGAGCAAGUAAAGCUAUCUGCAGAAGGCAUCCCUCCAAGCAAGAAUCCUACUGCAGACAAAACUCCCAUCUCACAGCAUUUGAAGGACUCCACCAAUGAAGAACCUGGAAAUGAUGUCCAGCCUGUUUUCCAUGAGAAUGUUCUAUUAUGUAGCACUGAAACAUGUGGUAAAUGCCUGCAAUCUCUUGAGCAAGAAUGCCAAGCUCUGAGGACUGAAAAUGUGUUGCUGAAAGAAAAAACGAAUAACACUACCCUGAAUGAAAUGAGCUUCCAUAAUGAUGAUAAAAAGGUUUGAUAUUCUUACUGGUUUACCAACAAAUACAAUUCUCAUGACAGUUUUUCAUUUUGUGGCUGCUUUUCUCAAACUUAAAUCUUCUUUAACAUGUUUUUUGCAGUACAUGUUAACAUUAAUGGAGCUUAGAAUGAACUUGUCCUUUGACUUUUUGGCUUUUUAUUUCAAAAUUGAUUCAACCACUGUUUCAAAGCUUUUCAAACACUGUAUUAGUGUGAUGCAUUGUAGACUGGUGCCAAGUCUAGUGUUGUGGCCUGACAGAGAAUCCCUAAGACAAUCUCUUCCAUAUGCAUUUUGGAACAGCAGCUUUGAGAAGACUGUUUGCAUCAUAGAUUGUUUAGAAAUACUUCUAGAGAAACCGAGUAGAUUGCUAGCCAGUUCUCAGUGUUACUCCUCGUACAAGUCACAUCACACAGUAAAAUAUUUAAUUGCAAUUUGACCUCAAGGUUUUAUUUGUUUCAUCUCCUCUGGAGGUCACACAAGUGAUAGGUUUAUUACAGAACAAAGUAAUUUUUUUUGUCUCAUUUGCUCCCAGGUGAUGUAGUUUUAGCAGACAGGCUUUUCCUGGUUAAAGAGUCCAUUCAGAGAUUCCAAGCAGAAUUAAAGAUUCCAGCAUUUACUCGCGGAAAGAAACAGUUGGAUCCUGUUAAUUUGGAGAACACCAGAUGUCUAACUUCUCUCAGGAUACAUAUAAAAGAGUAAUAGUUCUGUCAAAAGUACGCGAUCUUGCAAAGCACUGUCCCCAUAACUUUCACAGACAUAGGUCAAGUCAUUUUUUUCUGUCUAUCUUGACAAGAUUGUUUAACGUUAACUAGUAAUGACUUCAUGAACUUCUUCACAAAUAAAAUUUUUAUCAUUAGAGAAAAAAUUACCA